rnacentral:lncRNA from 1 species
UGAAUCAGGGUCAAAGAGGUUGGCAAGCUGUACCAAGCAAGAAGAAACUGAUAGGAGAUAAAUGUUUAAUCUUACACUUGGGUUUGAAUAGCAAAUCUUAAGUUUUUGAAUUUAUGUAUUUAGCCCCAAAAUAUGUGAAUGUAUCUUCAUGGAACCAGGCACUGUUCUCAGUCCAGGCGGUGAAUGGUGAAUAAAACCACUGAGUAAACCUCAAAGAAUGAAAGGGCAAGAGUCAUACUGGGUGUUAAAAGGUGGUGCUAGGGUUUGGGUACCCAUCAGCCAAAGAUCCAUGUGUUGAAGGCUUGGUCCCCAGGGGGCGCUAUUGGGAAAAGCUGUGAUCUUUAAGAGGUGGGGCCUGGUGGGAGGUCCUUGGGUCUCUGAGAAUGUGUCCCUCUGUCAAAUCCUCCAGACUGGAGGAGGCAGCACUCACUUCAACACAGGAUCCUGCCUUGGCUGCUUCAGUCUCCAGAGGUCUCAUCAGUGGGCUGCCCAAUCUUGGACUUCAACCUCCAGAAUCCCUGAACCAAAAUAAAACUUGAUUCACUUCAUAAGUAGCCCAUGACAGUAAAGCUGAGAAAGACAGGCUGUAAGUGGGGGUAAACUGAAGCAGGGGAGGAGACAGUUUUGAAUGGGGUUGGCUUGGUUGAAAUGUGGAUGUUUGAGCAGAAACAUGAAGAUGAAGGGGGUGGUGCCUCAGCUCUUUGGGGAAGAAGGUUCUGGAUUCUGGGAACAGUGAGGAGGUUCCGGAUUCUGGGAACAGUGAGGAGGAGCGUGAGGAUAGCUGCGUGGGCCAGAGGGGCCAGGAGGAUGAGCUGGAGUAACCGGAUUUGGAAUGAGUUUUAG